rnacentral:rRNA from 1 species
AGUGAACCCUGCGGGUAGGCCUAACAAUUCAAAGUCGAACGGCAGCACAGUAAGAGCUUGCUCUUACGGGUGGCGAGUGGCGGACGGGUGCGGAAUACAUCGGAAUCUACUUUUUCGUGGGGGAUAACGUAGGGAGACUAACGCUAAUACCGCAUACGACCUACGGGUGAAAGCAGGGGAUCUUCGGACCUUGCGCGAUGGAAUGAGCCGAUGUCGGAUUAGCUAGUUGGCGGGGUAAUGGCCAACCAAGGCGACGAUCCGUACCUGGUCUGUGAGGAUGGUCGGCCGCACUGGAGCUUGAACACGGUCCAUGCUCCUACGGGAGGCAGCAGUGGGGAAUAGUGGACAGUAGUCGCGAGCCUUAUCCAACCAUACCGCGUGUGUUGAAGAGGCCUUCGGUUUGUAAAGCCCUUUUGUUGGGAGAGAACAGCUUCAGGUUGUGACCCCGCUGUUCUGACGGUACCCAAAGAAUAAGCACCGGCUAACUUCGUG